UACGGAGGGGGCUAGCGUUGUUCGGAAUUACUGGGCGUAAAGCGCACGUAGGCGGCUUUGUAAGUUAGAGGUGAAAUCCCGGGGCUCAACCUCGGAACUGCCUUUGAUACUGCAAAUCUCGAGUCCGAUAGAGGUGGGUGGAAUUCCUAGUGUAGAGGUGAAAUUCGUAGAUAUUAGGAAGAACACCGGUGGCGAAGGCGGCCCACUGGAUCGGUACUGACGCUGAGGUGCGAAAGCGUGGGGAGCAAACAGG
rnacentral:rRNA from 1 species